rnacentral:rRNA from 1 species
UUGACCUCGGAUCAGGUAGGGAUACCCGCUGAACUUAAGCAUAUCAAUAAGCGGAGGAAAAGAAACCAACAGGGAUUGCUCUAGUAACGGCGAGUGAAGCAGCAAUAGCUCAAAUUUGAAAUCUGGCGUCUUCGGCGUCCGAGUUGUAAUUUGUAGAGGAUGCUUCUGAGUAGCCACCGACCUAAGUUCCUUGGAACAGGACGUCAUAGAGGGUGAGAAUCCCGUAUGCGGUCGGAAAGGCGCUCUACACGUAGCUCCUUCGACGAGUCGAGUUGUUUGGGAAUGCAGCUCUAAAUGGGAGGUAAAUUUCUUCUAAAGCUAAAUAUUGGCCAGAGACCGAUAGCGCACAAGUAGAGUGAUCGAAAGAUGAAAAGCACUUUGGAAAGAGAGUUAAAAAGCACGUGAAAUUGUUGAAAGGGAAGGGAUUGCAACCAGACUUGCUCGCGGUGUUCCGCCGGUCUUCUGACCGGUCUACUCGCCGCGUUGCAGGCCAGCAUCGUCUGGUGCCGCUGGAUAAGACUUGAGGAAUGUAGCUCCCUCGGGAGUGUUAUAGCCUCUUGUGAUGCAGCGAGCGCCGGGCGAGGUCCGCGCUUCGGCUAGGAUGCUGGCGUAAUGGUCGUAAUCCGCCCGUCUUGAAACACGGACCAAGGAGUCUAACAUCUAUGCGAGUGUUCGGGUGUCAAACCCCUACGCGUAAUGAAAGUGAACGGAGGUGAGAACCGCAAGGUGCAUCAUCGACCGAUCCUGAUGUCUUCGGAUGGAUUUGAGUAUGAGCAUAGCUGUUGGGACCCGAAAGAUGGUGAACUAUGCCUGAAUAGGGUGAAGCCAGAGGAAACUCUGGUGGAGGCUCGCAGCGGUUCUGACGUGCAAAUCGAUCGUCAAAUUUGGGUAUAGGG